UACGGAGGGUGCAAGCGUUGUCCGGAUUUAUUGGGUUUAAAGGGUGCGUAGGUGGUCAUUUAAGUCUGAUUUGAAAGCAGGCGGCUUAACCGUCUGAUGUGGUUGGAAACUGAAUGACUUGAAUGGGUUGGCGGUAGCCGGAAUGGGUCAUGUAGCGGUGAAAUGCAUAGAUAUGACCCGGAACACCGAUUGCGAAGGCA
rnacentral:rRNA from 1 species